rnacentral:rRNA from 1 species
CUGGCUCAGAACGAACGCUGGCGGCGCGUUUAAGCAUGCAAGUCGAGCGGCAAGGGCCUUCGGGCCCCUAGAGCGGCGGACGGGUGAGUAACACGUGGACAAUCUGCCCCCCGGCCCGGGAUAGCCCAGGGAAACCUGGAUUAAUACCGGAUGAGACGGGACCCGCGAUGGCGGGACCCGGGAAAGGCGCUGCGGCGCCGCCGGGGGAUGAGUCUGCGUCCCAUUAGCUAGACGGCGGGGUAACGGCCCACCGUGGCGACGAUGGGUAGCCGGCCUGAGAGGGUGGACGGCCACAUUGGAACUGAGACACGGUCCAGACUCCUACGGGAGGCAGCAGCUAAGAAUCUUCCGCAAUGGGCGAAAGCCUGACGGAGCCGACGCCGCGUGAACGAAGAAGGCCGUGAGGUUGUAAAGUUCUUUUCGGGAGGGGGAACAACCGUGGCAGGGAAUGGCCGCGGGAUGACGUGAAUCCCGGAAUAAGCCCCGGCUAACUACGUGCCAGCCGCCGC